CAGGGCAUUUCCCACACUAUAGCUGAGGAAGAUGAUUUGGCACAGAGUUCUCAAGAAAACCAGUGCUGCAACACUCCCAAAGUGUGCCUGAGUUCUCCAGUUUGAUGGGCAUCUGGGACCAAGGGUGCCUUUGUUAAGUAUUCAACUUUCUUUGCUUUUUCAUCCAAGAUGCAAGAGCUGCCAGGAAUGAUCUCUAGAGAUUCCCAAGAAAUUCUUAACAAAACCAGAGAAAAAAUGAGACUCGACAUUGUUAAUAGUUCAAACACUAGAAAAUGCAUAAUUAAGAAAACCCCGAAGGCCUUGCUAUAUCUUCAAGAAAAAACAACUUUUUCUUUUAAAUAUUUUCUGUUUACCUCACGGAGAGGAUGAUCCUAUAGAAAGGUGAGAACAUGCAAAUGUGUGUGGUUUGAUAAUUUCCUCUUCCAAAAUGUAGUCUAAAUGCACAGAGAUGAAAUGCCUCACUGGCAAUUUACCUUCUCAACCUGAGUGCAGCUCUAUAGGCAGAAAGUAGUUGCCUCACUGAGGCAACACACCCCAGCUUGGAAAAAAAAGUGCAGAGAUGGGAGAAAACAAGAAACAGCAGCUGGUAUCUCAAGCAGUGUUCCCUAAAGAGCAGUUCCCAAACUACAUGCAAAUGGAGUUCCAGGCCUGUGGAGCUCAGGAACUCCAAACAUAUGUUGUUUUUCCCUGAAAAUUUUAUCUUUCCCUUCUUCUCACCUGUCUUGCUGUGAUCAUCUGAGUUAUGUUAUCUGUUUUAUAUUGCUGAAGAACUCGAGGUGGUCUGUCAGGAAGAAGAGAUGGCCUUACCCCAACAUUAGUUAAUCCACGUUGGAUGAAUUUCAAUAUGAAGCAUUCCCCAACUGGGGGAUUUUAUUAAAUCUUGAACUGUCACCAACUGAUGAAGGGUUCCCCUUUACUGUUUUACAAAAUACACACCACGUAAAUCAAAAGAGGCUAAAUGUAAGUAGUGACUCCCAUAAUAAAAUAUUUUUCCCCUCUCCCCCAACAGAUAAUAGUGAUGACCAAGAGCUUGGCAACAAGGAGAAAGCAUCUUUUCGUUGUCUUUGAGGAAAAUAAAGGCUUUAUGAA